AAGCGGAGGAAAAGAAACCAACAGGGAUUGCCUUAGUAACGGCGAGUGAAGCGGCAACAGCUCAAAUUUGAAAUCUGGCCCUUGGGUCCGAAUUGUAAUUUGUAGAGGAUGAUUUUGGUGCGGUAUCUUCCGAGUUCCUUGGAACAGGACGCCUUAGAGGGUGAGAGCCCCGUACGGUUGAAUGCCUAGCCUCUGUAAAUCUCCUUCGACGAGUCGAGUAGUUUGGGAAUGCUGCUCUAAAUGGGAGGUAAAUUUCUUCUAAAGCUAAAUAUUGGCCAGAGACCGAUAGCGCACAAGUAGAGUGAUCGAAAGAUGAAAAGCACUUUGAAAAGAGGGUUAAAUAGCACGUGAAAUUGUUGAAAGGGAAGGAUUUGUGACCAGACUUUUUCUGGGCGGAUCAUCCGGGGUUCUCUCCGGUGCACUUCGCCCAGUAAAGGCCAGCAUCGGUUUUCGGCGUGGGAUAAAAGCAGUAGGAAUGUGGCUCUCUACGGGGAGUGUUAUAGCCUAUUGUAUAAUACCGCGCUGGGGACCGAGGUUCGCGCUUCUGCAAGGAUGCUGGCGUAAUGGUUAUCAAUCACCCGUCUUGAAACACGGACCAAGGAGUCGAACAUUUGUGCGAGUGUUUGGGUGUUAAACCCUCACGCGUAAUGAAAGUGAACGGAGGUGAGAGCCCUUACGGGUGCAUCAUCGACCGAUCCUGAAGUUUUCGGAUGGAUUUGAGUAAGAGCAUAACUGUUCGGACCCGAAAGAUGGUGAACUAUGCGUGGAUAGGGUGAAGCCAGAGGAAACUCUGGUGGAGGCUCGCAGCGGUUCUGACGUGCAAAUCGAUCGUCAAAUCUGCGCAUGGGGGCGAAAGACUAAUCGAACCAUCUAGUAGCUGGUUACC
rnacentral:rRNA from 1 species